AUCACGCUUCAAGGAUAGCAACUCCAGAAAUGUGGAAAUUAAAUAUAUCACCCAUAACUAAAUAUCAUGAACCAACCAGUGUUGUGCUGUGGGAAUUUAUUGUGAUUUUGUUUAUGCAGGUGGAAAGAGAUGCAACCAUAAUACAUUAGAUUCAGUUUAGAGUGUAGACACUUUAUAAUUUACAUAAAUUCCAUGUUCAAUUUGAUGUUUACUUUUCUGAGUUAAUGGCACACCAUUUACACUAGCAUGAUACUAUAUUUAUUAACAUACUAUUUAUUAAAAUCAAGACAUAAUUUAUGUCUCAUUGCUUAUGCAUUUUUAAACAUUUUCAUGUUACUUGCAUAUUACUAUAUAGCCACUAAGUACAGUAAUACAGAAAAAAAGCAGAUAUCUUUCAUUUGUUAUUACAAACUGUUGUUUGGUAAUAUUGAACAGGUAUUAAUAUAAUAGUCCCUUGACUCCCUUUCUAUUAUGGCCAUUAGUCAAGAACUACUCAGUAAACACAGCAGGUGUCAUGAUGAUCACAGGGGAGGUGCAGCUUUAAUUUAACAGAGCUGAGUGCUCCAAAAUGUCAUUCAAAUGUAUUUAAUUUGGAUGUGACCAAAAAUGAUGUCCGAGUGGGUGAGUUGUUUGCUUUGUAAUUAGUCCCCCUACCUUCACUAAUUUGUUUGACUGAUUCAUGCAGAUAUGCAUACUGUUUGUGAAUAUUAUAGAGGGGUAUUAUGACAUUGACAAAGUAAUGAGAUAAUCAUGGCAUGAUGGAAGCAUUGCCUCCUCUCAUGACUUUAUAUUGCAAUGGCAAAAGAGAUACUGCCUCCCUCUGGAACCCUAUCCGCUUGAUGCUGCUGAACAGUGUAAAUGAGUGAUUUAUACAUUAUUCAGUCGCACACCUGUAAUAUGUUGUGUUAUUUGUGUACAGUUGAUUGUUGUCUUUUUUGUUUGAUUGGUAACACUUUAAUUUAGGGUCCAAUUCUCACUAUUAACUAGUUGCUUAUUAGCAUGAAUAUUACUAGGAUAUUGGCUUAGUACUUAUAAAGCACAUAUUAAUUCUGCAUGAUCAUAUUCUACAUCUCUUAAUCAUACCCAAUACCUAAACUUAACAACUACCUUACUAACUAUUAAUAAGCGAAUUAGGAGUUUAUUGAGGCAAAAGUCAUAGUUAAUAGUUAAUAGUGAGAUUUGGACCCUAAUCUAAAUGUGACUGUUUUUUUUGUUUUUUUUUCACGUCCUCAAAGAAAACGCAACCAUAUGCAUCUUAUAAAAGAAAAGGUUUGGCCUAUAUUUGGGUUUGUUUUUAGCAAAAUACAAACAAACAAAAACAACAGAAACAGUGGUUGAAGGCACUUUAUGGUCAUGUUCACUCAGAACCAGAAUACACUUGUCAGUCCUGUAUUUGAGUACUUAAUACGGUUACUUUCACACGCAGUUUAUUUAUUUACGAGUGACAACCGCAUUCUAACCGAAUACACACCCGUAAAUUUUCACAUUUUCAUUGUCAAUCCCACAAACUGACAGUGUGAACGUAGCCUGUGUCAGCGGUGGCCUUUUGAUCCGUCUGCUGAGCUGGUCUCACAGUAAAUCAACCAUGUGACAGAAGUAACGAUCUUUUGACUGUAGUGUAAUUUCCUAUCAGCUCUCUUACAGCUCUGAAAAAGCCCCAGAAUCCUCUAGUCACACACACAGACAGCAUGCUUGCAAAUAUUAUGUGGUACACUUCACAAUAAUCUGUCCUGCAGUUUCAAUACUUUGUAACUUUUAAAGAGGUCAUGUAAUGCCACUUUUACAAGAUGUAAAAUAAGUCUCUGAUGUCCUCAGAGUGUGUAUGUGAAGUUUUAGCUCAAAGUACCCCAUAGAUCAUUUUUUAUAGCAUGUUAAAUCUGUCACUCUUUGAGGGUGAGCAAAAAACGCUCCGUUUUUGGAUGCAUCUCUUUAAAUGCAAAUGUGCUGCUGCUCUUACGAAGAGGGCGGAGCUUCAAGAGCUCAUGUUAGCACAUAGUGUUAGCAGCGCCGAUUACCACAGACUCACUGAAAAUGUCAGAAACUGUUCAUCCUUUUAUGUUCAAACCAGAGUCGGACAAUGAUGAAGAGACUCAAGAAGAAGUGACAACAUGUAGAAUGCAACAGGACGUUUCUGAACGAUCUGGCAAACAGGAGCGAUCCGCCCAAGUGCCAUCAUUCCACGCAACAUGUGGCCCAGAUCAUCAUACCACACGUGGCAGAUGUGGGCCGGAUUUGGGCCGGCACAAAGUUGCUAUCUGGGAACGCUGUCAACAGCGAAAUGAAUCUGCAGCAGUCAGAGAGUACAUCAGUUUCAGUUUGGAUCUCUUAAGAAGACCUCAGAUGACCAACACUUUUGAAGAGACAGCGCCAACUCCUGCGAGGACUUCAGGAGAUGCAACAUCUGGAUCAACACGCACAUUCGCAAAUUUCUAUAUAUCCUAAUUAUUGUUAAUAUGUAUUUCAUUUUUCCAGGAGCUCUUUGCUUCUACCUUCAAUUAAAUUACUAACAGUGAUUGUAAAUUAAUUGCCUAAAUUAUUACAUUAUUAGCUAACUGCAUUCUCCAAAUUGUAAUGUUGACAUGCAUUCUCUGUAAAGCUGCUUUGAAACGAUAUGUAUUGUGAAAAGCGCUAUACAAAUAAAUGUGAAUUGAAUUGAAUUGAAUGUUUUUCAAGAUGUCAAAC